rnacentral:rRNA from 1 species
AACGAACGCUGGCGGCAUGCCUAACACAUGCAAGUCGAACGAGACCUUCGGGUCUAGUGGCGCACGGGUUCGUAACGCGUGGGAACCUGCCCUUAGGUUCGGAAUAACUCCCCGAAAGGGGUGCUAAUACCGGAUAAUGUCUUCGGACCAAAGAUUUAUCGCCUUUGGAUGGGCCCGCGUUGGAUUAGCUAGUUGUUAGGGUAAAAGCCUACCAAGGCGACGAUCCAUAGCUGGUCUGAGAGGAUGAUCAGCCACACUGGGACUGAGACACGGCCCAGACUCCUACGGGAGGCAGGAGUGGGGAAUAUUGGAACAUGGGCGAAAGCAUGAACCAGCAAUGCCGCGUGAGUGAUGAAGGCAUUAGGGUUGUAAAGCUCUUUUAACCGGGAUGAUAAUGACAGUACCGGGAGAAUAAGCCCCGGCUAACUCCGUG